GGUUAGGGUUAAAGUGUGUAAGGAGACACAGGAUGAAUGCGAACUACUUUUGUUAUUGUACUUUUGAUGAAAACUGACUUUCUAGACAUAAAAUGUCACUUUUUUCACCUUAUCAUACUUUUUCAUCAACUUUUGCAUUUUAAUGUAAACAAUCAUAUUUCGUAAUAUUUUGGGUCAGAAACAUCUCUUAGUGCUAUAUUAUGUCUAACUAUGUGAAAAAAAUCAAAUUGGAGUAGGUCGGGCAACUGAUUAUAUGAGUUUGUUAGAAAAACCACUUUCCUUUGCUCCUAGCGCCUUCUCGUUCGCUCUAUAGCGUUUUGAGCGGAUAAAGAGCACAAGUGUGUAAGGAGACACAGGAUGAAUGCGAACUACUUUUGUUGAUUUUUUUCACAUAGUUAGACAUAAUAUAGUACUAAGAAAUGUUUCUGACCCAAAUAUUACGAAAUAUGAUUGUUUACAUUAAAAUGCAAAAGUUGAUGAAAAAGUAUGAUAAGGUGAAAAAAGUGACAUUUUAUGUCUAGAAAGUCAGUUUUCAUCAAAAGUACAAUAACAAAAGUAGUUCGCAUGCAUCCUGUGUCUCCUUACACACUUGUGCUCUUUAUCCGCUCAAAACACUAUAGAGCGAACGAGAAGGCGCUAGGAGCAAAGGAAAGUGGUUUUUCUAACAAACUCAUAUAAUCAGUUGCCCGACCUACUCCAAUUUGAUUUUUUUCACAUAGUUAGACAUAAUAUAGUACUAAGAAAUGUUUCUGACCCAAAAUAUUAUGAAAUAUGAUUGUUUACAUUAAAAUGCAAAAGUUGAUGAAAAAGUAUGAUAAGGUGAAAAAAGUGACAUUUUAUGUCUAGAAAGUCACUUUUCAUCAAAAGUACAAUAACAAAUCUAGUUCACAUUCAUCCUGUGUCCCCUUACACACUUGUGCUCUUUAUCCGCUCAAAACGCUAUAGAGCGAACGAGAAGGCGCUAGGAGCAAAGGAAAGUGGUUUUUCUAACAAACUCAUAUAAUCAGUUGCCCGACCUACUCCAAUUUGAUUUUUUUCACAUAGUUAGACAUAAUAUAGUACUAAGAGAUGUUUCUGACCCAAAAUAUUACGAAAUAUGAUUGUUUACAUUAAAAUGCAAAAGUUGAUGAAAAAGUAUGAUAAGGUGAAAAAAGUGACAUUUUAUGUCUAGAAAGUCACUUUUCAUCAAAAUACAAUAACAAAUCUAGUUCACAUUCAUCCUGUGUCCCCUUACACACUUGUGCUCUUUAUCCGCUCAAAACGCUAUACAGCGAACUAGAAGGCGCUAGGAGCAAAGGAAAGUGGUUUUUCUAACAAACUCAUAUAAUCAGUUGCCCGACCUACUCCAAUUUGAUUCUUGUCGCAUAUUUACACAUAAUAUAGUACUAUGAAAUGUUUCUGACCCAAAAUAUUACGAAAUAGGAUUGUUUACAUUAAAAUGCAAAAGUUGAUGAAAAAGUAUGAUAAGGUGAAAAAAGUGACAUUUUAUGUCUAGAAAGUCAGUUUUCAUCAAAAGUACAAUAACAAAUCUAGUUCACAUUCAUCCUGUGUCCCCUUACACACUUGUGCUCUUUAUCCACUCAAAACGCUAUACAGCGAACUAGAAGGCGCUAGGAGCAAAGGAAAGUGUUUUUUUCUAACAAACUCAUAUAAUCAGUUGCCCGACCUACUCCAAUUUGAUUCUUUUCACAUAGUUAGACAUAAUAUAGUACUAUGAAAUGUUUCUGACCCAAAAUAUUAUGAAAUGCGAUUGUUUACAUUAAAAUGCAAAAGUUGAUGAAAAAGUAUGAUAAGGUGAAAAAAGUGACAUUUUAUGUCUAGAAAGUCACUUUUCAUCAAAAGUACAAUAACAAAUCUAGUUCACAUUCAUCCUGUGUCCCCUUACACACUUGUGCUCUUUAUCCGCUCAAAACGCUAUACAGCGAACGAGAAGGCGCUAGGAGCAAAGGAAAGUGGUUUUUCUAAC
ensembl:lncRNA